AGUGUUGAUAUAUUUUUUGAAGAUGAAGAUGAAAACGAAAGACCGGAGAAAGUAUUGGUGUGUAGAUUACGAAGAAGUUUAAGGGACAACUCCAACCCACUUCAACUUCCAGAUAAUUUGUUUGUGUCAUAUUUUCGCGUUAAUAAGCAUGCAUUUGGUUAUAUUUUAAACAUCAUUACACCACGAUUUAAAACUACUCAAAGUUCUGCAAUUCCACCAUAUAUAAAACUUGCAUGUGCGUUGCGUUUUCUAGGCAGUGGAAGCUACCAAAAUGGUGUGGGAAGUGACUUUGAGCUGGGUCUCGCGCAUUCACAGUUUCAGUAGUUCUAAGUGAAGUGCUUGAUUUACUUGAAGUGAAAAUUUGUCCUGUGUGGAUAAAGGCAGACAUGUCUACCUCUGAAAAACAAGAAGCAAGAAAUUACUUUUUUGAAAGGCCAGAUUACCCGGAAUAGUGGGCUGUGUAGAUGGGACUCACAUUGGAAUAAUCGCUCCUGUUCAGCUACAACAUCAAUUUUUAAACAGAAAAGGAUUUUAUAGUUUGAAUGUUAGUGGUGGUUAGUUAGAUACAUAGAGAUUGAUUCUUAUUAUUUCACUCAAACUUUUUUCAUUUCAUGGCCUGUGACAAUAAUGGAAUUAUAAGAUUUAUUGAUUCCAGAUAUCCAGGUUCAACACAUGACUCUUUUGUGUGGAAUCAUAGUGAAUUAAAGGAUCUUUUGGAAAGCUGGUGGUUGAAUGGAGAGCGGUCAAGAUAUCUAGGUGUGAAUAUAUUCCAAUCGUAGGUAAAGAAGUAAAUGGGCUAUUUUUAAGAACAAUUUUUUUUUUUCAAAAAUACUAGGCUUGGUUUUUUUUUGAAGAUCCGAAAGAUCCUAUACCUUUCACAUUUUC